GAAAUUCGCCUUCAUGAAGCCGGAAUUGCUAGUAAUGGCAGGUCAGCAUACUGCCGUGAAUACGUUCCCCGGGGCCCUUGUACACACCGCCCGUCACACCAUGAGAGUUGGGAAUACCCGAAGCCUGUGAGCUAACGUUAAGAGGCAGCAGUCGAAGGUAGAAUCAAUGAUUGGGGUGAAGUCGUAACAAGGUACC
rnacentral:rRNA from 1 species